GCCCUGCUCCUCAGGCUGGCGCCCCCUGAGCCCCAAACCGAGGUGGGGGGAGGGAAAGGGGAUGCAGAGAUGGAAGCGGGGAGGACACAGACAUGCUGCAACGCCGAGGACAAGGACAAAGGACCCGGAGCGCCCAGGGGCUCUUUACCUUGCGUGCCCGCCAGCUUCUGGGGUGGAGCUGACAUGUUUAUUCUAGCACAAUGAUUAGCACCCCAUGGACAAUGAGCAAAGCCAUUUGUGUGCAGCUUGCUGUGGUUUUGAGGAUCUAAAGGAAAACUAAGAUCUAAUCUUCCUCCCACUGAAGUCAAUGAUAGCUUUGUAAAGGACUCCAUUGGUUUAGGAUCAGUCCCCCAAUCUAUAAAGUAGCUCUGCUUGAAGGAAUAAUAAAUUAAACCUUU